GGGAGUGGAGGGCGGGGGGGGGGAGAUGAGACACAAACUUAAGCACCCUAGGCGAACGUCUGUUCCCCCAGGCUCUGAGUUCCGGAUUGGAUUGCAAGACGGUUUCGAAAUCUAACACGUUGGGAAUAGACACUUGUCAUGCUCACGUGGUCUUUAAACGUCUGGGCUUGGGGAUGACUGGGGCGCGUGUGUGCCCCGCUACAAUCCCCCCCCCCCGCCGCCCACCUUUGUAGAAAAGGGUUGACCACGCCGGGGCUGCUCGUCCGUUUCGGUAAACAGUGUCUAACUUUGUGGGCUACAAUCCCUACCGUAGGAUACCCCCUUCACCCUUCAGUAUUUCAAACAGAAACUAGCCAUUAAGUACACACUCGUUCCUAUUGGUUUAUUUUGCUUGAGAGGAAAGCUCCAAUAGGAGUUCAACUAUGAAUCCCCUCCACCCCCGCCCCAAAUACAACCCAGAUGCUGUUUUGGCUGAUUUCAAGAUGCGCAUGUCCGCACUUCUGGGUCUAGUUUUCACCUAUGCCCAUUAGUUUAAAAAAAAAAAAAAAAAAAAAGGCAGCAAACCAACUGUCACAUGUCACAGAAGACUUUCCCCAUUACUUAAAAAAAAAAAAAAAAAUAAAAGAAAAAAGAAAAACCCCAAACGUAAAUAAGCCGAGCAGCGACGUCAGCGCCCGUGUCUGUCUCCAGUUUCGACUCUGUGGCUGUUCUGGUUUUGUGACCUCGGUGGAGAUCCGGCGGGAGGAGACGUCCCGGAGAAAACAAGGUUAAAGCCGAGUCACACACUAAGGCGGCCACAGAAUGACCCGCUAGACUUUGGAGUCUGUUUACGAUUACGUUGGAAAUUAACGCGUGCCUUCGCCGCGCCCCCUUCCCAAAGACAACCCCUCAGGGGAGUGCGUUAAAACCCAGAGUUAAGGAAGCUUGGGAUACUUUUUUCCAAAAUGAACCAACUGCGGGAAGCGUCACUGAGAGGCAGGGACCUUAAAGCUGCCCUACCCCCCACCGCACCCCGCGCGCUCCCCGGUGGUUUGCAGAGUGCACGCGCGGAAAUUAAAGCAGAAGGCGGUUGUAGGACCGUGUCUGGGGAGACCGAGAGAACCCAGCGACUGGCAACCCCCCCUCUGCAAACUGCCCGGGUCGCAGAGCUUUCCGGGACCUGGCCGGCGGUGACUCAGCUGCUGCGCCCCGGUGCGGGACUGAUGUGAUGCGGGGUGGGGGCCGCCCGUUUGGAGGGCCGCCUCUGUCUGGUUUUGAAGGGUUGUUUGUGGCUGGGAUUGGUGGCUCACAUCCGCUGGGGACUCUGGAGAGGAGGGAAGAAAGACGCGAGGAGGAGGAGGAGCUGGACCGCGUGAGUGGCAGGAAGAGUCCGGUUCGGGCCCGGCGGGGACUGCCUAGUCGCUCUGUUUGCUAACUUGGGACCGUGGCUACGGGGCCACUCCACGGGACCCGCCUCGGGUCGGCUAAACCCAGCCGCGGCAGCGCGAGGCCGAAACGCUCCUUUCCCGGCGGUUACCCGCGCCCACGCGGCGGCUCUCAUUAUGUACACAAAAGCUCCAUCCACCAACGAGAAGCGAUGGGGUCUCAGCAUGGACUCGAAUAGUGACGCUUCUGGGACCGUGAAUGCCCAACGUUCUGACUGAAGAAUCUCGGGAUACACUUUUGGAUGGUGUCAUCAACGCCAGGCCUCAUGGAAGAUCUGAGUGAGUUUGUAUCUAUAUCGACAAUCUUUCCUGAAAGGUCACGCCUGGUACCAAGGCUCCCAGACUUGGCAGGAAGGCCCUUUCCCCUGUAGUUACCCGGUGUGCCGCGCAGAUUGCACAGCACUGCUAGUCUUGCCCUGCUUCCAACGGAGCUGGAAGCUGAGACAGGGCGGGCCAAGAACUGCGGUGUUUCCUAUCCCUGGGAGCUUCAGGACUGGUAUUCAUGUCUUUCAAAAUAUCGUGUUUUCAUCAGUAUACAGGGAUGGCUUUUUGUCUCUGGGCCUCAUUAGUCCAAGAAACUCACUCCAUUAACUAUCGAUUUGGGUAAGUGUUGAAGGAAGUCCUUUCCUCCCUUCCCCGGGUAAAAUGCUGUAGACACUUGUGUUAACUAGGUCCUCUUGCUUGUACUGCAGAUACUGCGUGCUAUUUUCUGACGCAAAUACGAUGCUGCCCCGUCGAUCCACCGCAAAACGAAAACUGCCCAAUGCCUGUAGUAAAAGCCGUCCGAAAGAAUCUUUACCAGUGACCGCCUGUCCCGUAGAAGACACGUCAGCUGUCUGAGCAUCACCAUCGCUGGAAACAGUUUUUCCUUGAUGUACCUGUCUCACUGCGUCCUUUAAAAUCGCGUAUUUAUCUGGUUUGGCGUUGAAAUUGUCAGCACCGCUAAGAUGUGCAGGUGUCAGCUCAGCCGGUUCUUGUAUUUGCUCUCCUCCUCCUGUCUCCGCUUUUCACCACCGUAGGCAAGACCCUGCCCUGCAGCAUCACAUGGCAAUGGUGUUUGUUUCCGAGACUCAGUGGCCAGCGGAUCCAAGGAGCUCUCACCUAGUCCACUCAUCUUGAACACAGAUCUGCAACUGGCAGCCCAAUCAGCGAGGUCCAGGUAGGCGCAAAUCUUUUUGACCCGCUCUCUUUCGGAAACGCGCAGCUCAACCCCGGCGAUCUGAGGAGCUGAGGCAUGGGUACUAUUCUUAAAGACAAGAAAUCCUUUCCUUUCUUUCUUUCUUUUUUUUUUUUUUUUUUUUUUUUUUU